rnacentral:rRNA from 1 species
CACAAGCGGUGGAGUAUGUGGUUUAAUUCGAUGCAACGCGAAGAACCUUACCUGGUCUUGACAUCCCAGAAAUCCCUUGGAAACUUGGGAGUGCUUCCAUUAGGAAGAAUCUGGAGACAGGUGCUGCAUGGCUGUCGUCAGCUCGUGUCGUGAGAUGUUGGGUUAAGUCCCGCAACGAGCGCAACCCUUGCCUUUAGUUGCCAGCAGUUCGGCUGGGCACUCUAAAGGGACUGCCGGUGUUAAACCGGAGGAAGGUGGGGAUGACGUCAAGUCCUCAUGGCCUUUAUGACCAGGGCUACACACGUACUACAAUGGCCGAUACAAAGGGCAGCGACAUCGCGAGGUGAAGCCAAUCCCAUAAAAUCGGUCUCAGUCCGGAUUGGAGUCUGCAACUCGACUCCAUGAAGUUGGAAUCGCUAGUAAUCGUGGAUCAGCAUGCCACGGUGAAUACGUUCCCGGGCCUU